ACGCUGGCGGCAGGCCUAACACAUGCAAGUCGAGCGGUAGCACAAGAGAGCUUGCUCUCUGGGUGACGAGCGGCGGACGGGUGAGUAAUGUCUGGGAAACUGCCUGAUGGAGGGGGAUAACUACUGGAAACGGUAGCUAAUACCGCAUGACCUCGCAAGAGCAAAGUGGGGGACCUUCGGGCCUCACGCCAUCGGAUGUGCCCAGAUGGGAUUAGCUAGUAGGUGGGGUAAUGGCUCACCUAGGCGACGAUCCCUAGCUGGUCUGAGAGGAUGACCAGCCACACUGGAACUGAGACACGGUCCAGACUCCUACGGGAGGCAGCAGUGGGGAAUAUUGCACAAUGGGCGCAAGCCUGAUGCAGCCAUGCCGCGUGUGUGAAGAAGGCCUUAGGGUUGUAAAGCACUUUCAGCGAGGAGGAAGGCGUUGUAGUUAAUAGCUGCAGCGAUUGACGUUACUCGCAGAAGAAGCACCGGCUAACUCCGUGCCAGCAGCCGCGGUAAUACGGAGGGUGCAAGCGUUAAUCGGAAUUACUGGGCGUAAAGCGCACGCAGGCGGUUUGUUAAGUCAGAUGUGAAAUCCCCGAGCUUAACUUGGGAACUGCAUUUGAAACUGGCAAGCUAGAGUCUUGUAGAGGGGGGUAGAAUUCCAGGUGUAGCGGUGAAAUGCGUAGAGAUCUGGAGGAAUACCGGUGGCGAAGGCGGCCCCCUGGACAAAGACUGACGCUCAGGUGCGAAAGCGUGGGGAGCAAAC
rnacentral:rRNA from 1 species